GAUGAACGCUGGCGGCGUGCUUAACACAUGCAAGUCGAACGGGAAUUAUUUUAUUGAAACUUCGGUCGAUUUAAUUUAAUUCUAGUGGCGGACGGGUGAGUAACGCGUGGGUAACCUGCCUUAUACAGGGGGAUAACAGUCAGAAAUGGCUGCUAAUACCGCAUAAGCGCACAGAGCUGCAUGGCUCAGUGUGAAAAACUCCGGUGGUAUAAGAUGGACCCGCGUUGGAUUAGCUGGUUGGUGGGGUAACGGCCCACCAAGGCGACGAUCCAUAGCCGGCCUGAGAGGGUGAACGGCCACAUUGGGACUGAGACACGGCUCAGACUCCUACGGGAGGCAGCAGUGGGGAAUAUUGCACAAUGGGGGAAACCCUGAUGCAGCGACGCCGCGUGAAGGAAGAAGUAUCUCGGUAUGUAAACUUCUAUCAGCAGGGAAGAUAGUGACGGUACCUGACUAAGAAGCCCCGGCUAACUACGU
rnacentral:rRNA from 1 species